rnacentral:rRNA from 1 species
UACAGAGGGUGCGAGCGUUGUUCGGAAUUAUUGGGCGUAAAGGGCGCGUAGGCGGUGCGGUAAGUCACCUGUGAAAUCUCCUGGCUCAACUGGGAGCUUGCAGGCGAAACUGCCGUGCUGGAGUGUGGGAGAGGUGCGUGGAAUUCCUGGUGUAGCGGUGAAAUGCGUAGAUAUCAGGAGGAACACCGGUGGCGAAGGCGGAUCUCUGGGCCAUUACUGACGCUGAGGAGCGAAAGCGUGGGGAGCGAACAGG